GGAUGCGAUCAUACCAGCACUAAUGCACCGGAUCCCAUUAGAACUCCGAAGUUAAGCGUGCUUGGGCGAGAUUAGUACUAGGAUGGGUGACCUCCUGGGAAGUCCUCGUGUUGCAUUCC
rnacentral:rRNA from 1 species